GGAAGAAGUGUCUUCUCCUAGGGGAGGAAGGAUUUUCCAGUGUGGGGCCUUCCAUUACCAAGCUCUGCCUCACCUCUGAUGGUCAAGCACCCGCUUUCCAGCCGUGACCUCCAGAAAACUCCCCAAGCUUCCCCAAGAAAGGCAGCAAGCCAAGCUCUCUCUCCCCCUUCCGCCAAAGCUGAGACAAUGGCAGGAACACUCCACCCAGCGCUGUCGGCUUCAGAGAUGCCAUAAUGAUUGCUGGAGAAGGCAAGGAGUUAGGGAUUGGGAGAAGAGCCACAUGCUCCAAGAGGCAGGUUAAAACCAUCAAAUGAGGAAGUUUCAGCCAGCAGUCUUCUGCUUGUAAUGCUUUAAAAUGAACCGGAAGAGUGAGUACCUUGGAACUUCAAACCUGCCACAAAGCUAAAAGGUAAACCGUUGACAGUAAAUAUUCCAAUCACUUGUCACUUCCUCGCCCGAACUAAUGGAAGCUAGGAGGUAAACUCACAGCCACAGAGGCAGUGAGCUACCGCCUAUCAAACACCCAUUCUGAGAUUUAGGCCACAGGGAACUGUGAACAGUGGCUUUAAUUGACUGCAAAGUUAAAGUAACUAAAAGGAAAGUGGCUGCUUCUCCCUCGGUUGGCCAGAAGAGUUACAGCUCAUCUAAAGCUCAUCUCAUCGUGGGGCACUCACAUUCAGACAAGGACUUGAAGUGACCAGUUCACUCCAGAGUUUGUCGGUUUUGCCCUGACCCCACUUGCAAUUUUACUUUUUAUUUUAUUCAUAUGGGUGUUUGGCCUGCAUGCUUGUGCACCACAUGGAUGCAGUGCCUGCAGAGGCCAGAAGAGGGCAGUCAAACUGGAUGUUGGGAACCGAGCCCAGCUCUCUGGAAGGUCACCAAGUGCUCUUAAUGCUGAGCCACCUCAUGCCUUCCCCUUCAAGCAAAGCUCAGUCCUUCCCUUGUGCUCUGGUUUCAUCAGAAGCUCCCUAGCCUUGUGGUCUCUGAGUCUUUGUGUGGAAAAUGUCCCUAACUUGGGGCUACCUCAUCCAAGGACUGGGGUGGUUUUCCAGUUCUCCAGUAGACUGCCAACUGCCAGCACUUUGGGUUUUGUUUUUAGACAGAGUCCUCACUAUGCAGCCCAGGGUGGCCUCAAACUUGAGAUCUUCCUGGAGGAGAGUGUUGCAUGCCUAUAGCCUCAGCACUUGGAAAGUAGAGGCAGGAGACUUGACUACACAGCAAGUUCUAAGCCAGCUUGGGAUACAUGAGCCCCUAAAUAAAUAAAUAAAUAAAAAUCAAAUCAUCCUCAUA